UACGUAGGGUGCAAGCGUUGUCCGGAAUUAUUGGGCGUAAAGAGCUCGUAGGCGGUUUGUCGCGUCGGCUGUGAAAACUCGGGGCUCAACCCCGAGCCUGCAGUCGAUACGGGCAGACUAGAGUGCUGUAGGGGAGACUGGAAUUCCUGGUGUAGCGGUGAAAUGCGCAGAUAUCAGGAGGAACACCGGUGGCGAAGGCGGGUCUCUGGGCAAUAACUGACGCUGAGGAGCGAAAGCGUGGGGAGCGAACAGG
rnacentral:rRNA from 1 species